rnacentral:lncRNA from 1 species
CCAGACUGCCCCAGGCCGCUGGCAGGACCGCCCUGGCUUCUUCAAAUGCCCAGAAAUAUUGGGUUGAACCUUUCAGCAGUCUGCAGGUUAAACAGUGAAGCAUAUUUUUCACCCUCUGGCCAUUUCAUGGCUUAGCAAAGAUGAAGUCCUGUGCAAAACUGGCCAGUGGCAGCUUCUCUCUCCCAUUCCCUCUGCUUGGAGCACAUACUUGGCACCAUAUCAUGAGUUUCACUUUCAGAAACCAGCUGUCAAGUUAUCAGGCUGAGAGAUGAUUGCUUCAAUCUGCUGGGUUUCUGGUGAUUUGCAUGGCAAGCAUCACAGGACUGCCAUGAACUGGAAUGAAAUGCAUUGCAAGUGAAAGGAAAAAUAAACCAUACACUUUUAUUAACAGGAACAACUCGAGUCAUUCACCCUGCAGAGCUGAGCAAUCUCUUCUGCUUUCAAAGCUCAUGAGAUACAAGCAAGGGCACUGUGAAGAAAUGCUGCCGAAUCCCUUUGGAUUGUGCCAAGAUGUUUGCACUUGUUGAGGAAUACAUUUGGUAUUGUCAGCUCAGUGUGCAGCUGAAGGGGGAAUGACAGGACGCUCAGAGACAGCAGGAGCUGAUGAUGCCAGGCUUUGGCAUGCUUAGACUGUGAGGGUAUAAAAGCUGAGGG